GACGAACGCUGGCGGCGUGCUUAACACAUGCAAGUCGAACGGUGAAGCGCCUUCCUUUUUGGUGGGUGUGGAUGAGCGGCGAACGGGUGAGUAACACGUGAGUAACCUGCCCCCUUCUUCUGGAUAACCGCAUGAAAGUGUGGCUAAUACGGGAUUUUCUGGGUCUGUCGCAUGAUGGGUCUGGGAAAGAUAUUGUUUCGGUGGGGGAUGGGCUCGCGGCCUAUCAGCUUGUUGGUGGGGUGAUGGCCUACCAAGGCGGUGACGGGUAGCCGGCCUGAGAGGGUGGACGGUCACACUGGGACUGAGACACGGCCCAGACUCCUACGGGAGGCAGCAGUGGGGAAUAUUGCACAAUGGGCGCAAGCCUGAUGCAGCGACGCCGCGUGAGGGAUGGAGGCCUUCGGGUUGUGAACCUCUUUCGCCAGUGAAGCAGGCCUGCCUCGUUUGUGGGUGGGUUGACGGUAGCUGGAUAAGAAGCGCCGGCUAACUACGUG
rnacentral:rRNA from 1 species